rnacentral:tRNA from 1 species
ACUUUUCUAGUAUAACAGUACAAGUGACCUCCAAUCACUAAGAUUCAGAAAGACCCUGAAGAAAAGUA